ACGGCUCAGAAUGAACGUGGCGGCGUGGAUUAGGCAUGCAAGUCGAGCGAGAAUCGUAGCAAUACGAGGACAGCGGCGAAAGGGAGAGGAACACGUGGGUACCUACCCCCGGAUCCGGGAUAGUCAUGGGAAACUAUGGGUAAUACCGGAUAACGUCUCCGGACCAAAGGUGAGAUUCCGUCCGGGGAGGGGCCCGCGUCCUAUUAGCUAGUUGGUGAGGUAACGGCUCACCAAGGCGAAGAUGGGUACGGGAUGUGAGAGCAUGAUCCCGCUCAUUGGGACUGAGACACUGCCCAGACACCUACGGGUGGCUGCAGUCGAGAAUCUUCGGCAAUGGGGGAAACCCUGACCGAGCGACGCCGCGUGCCGAGAUGAAGGCCUUCGGGUUGUAAAUCGCUGUCGUAGAGGAGGAAGUGCCGGUGGGUUCUCCCAUCGGUUUGACCUAUUCUAGGAGGAAGGACGGGCUAAGUUCGUGCCAGCCGCAGC
rnacentral:rRNA from 1 species